rnacentral:lncRNA from 1 species
UGCUUGUUGUGCUCAUAUAAAUAAUAAUGUUUGCGCAAACUUGUAGUACAUAAGAGCGUGUUUGGUUUUAAGUUGCAAUCAUAAAGAACUCAACUCUAUAGAUUACAAUGGGUAUGGUUGUAUUGACUUGAAACUUUAGAUUGUGCUCUUCUCAAUCUCAAAGUUUGAGAUUUGAUUCUUACCUGAGUCAAUUUAGAUAGAUUAAUUUGACUUCUUAAGAAAAAAAAACUCAACUCUAUAGAUUCAUUCUAUUCCAGAGGAGCAUUUUAUACCUGAAAAAAACCGCUAUUCCAAAGGAACAUUUAUAUCGGAAAAGAACCGCAACCACUUG